rnacentral:rRNA from 1 species
UACGAAGGGGGCUAGCGUUGCUCGGAUUGACUGGGCGUAAAGGGCGCGUAGGCGGUUUGCACAGUCAGACGUGAAAUUCCUGGGCUUAACCUGGGGGCUGCGUUUGAUACGUGCAGGCUUGAGUUCGGAAGAGGGUCGUGGAAUUCCCAGUGUAGAGGUGAAAUUCGUAGAGAUGUGGAGGAAUACCGAUGGCGAAGGCAGCCUCCUGGGCCAACACUGACGCUCAUGCACGAAAGCGUGGGGAGCAAACAGG